GAGAAAGAAGAACAGAAAAGAAGGAGAAGGAAGAAGAAUAAGAGAGGAAGAAGAGGUGCAUCAGCCUUCUUGCUGUUGUACACUCCUACGGUUGCUGCCUUGCAGCCAUGGAUGCUGCUGAUGAUGCAUGCAAGCAUCUGGUACUCUCCACAACAAGUAAAAGCUGCCUUGGUCUUGAUCCAACUGAAGAUUUGAUUAAAGGACUGCUGAUCAACUGCAUGCAUGUAUCAAGAAGCAUAAAAGUAUUGAAGCUAAAGCAGAAGUGAGCAGAUGAUUCAUCGGAGAUGAAGAAAAGAUCAGAGAGUGAUUAUAGACAAGGACUUUUGAUACUUUGUGCAUUAUAAUGUAAAUUAAAUGUAAGUGAUAUUAUGCAAUUUGUUGUAACCUAUGGGAGAAUUAUUAAUGGGCCUGUAAUAUUAUAAAGUUAUCAUUGUAGCUGAUCACCACAUGUAAGUUAUGAUCUUUAUGGAAUUUUACUUAUACUCUAAUUUUAUAGUUGAGUUAGUUGUGGGUUUGUUUA